AGGGGAAUAGCUCAGUGGUAGAGUGCAUGCUUAGCAUGCAUGAGGUCCUGAGUUCAAUACCCAGUACCUCCA
rnacentral:tRNA from 1 species